AGAGAGGAGAGGGACAGUAAAUAUUUGCCGAGUUGUGAAACGGAUGGGGCAGUGGGAUUCCAAAGAGAAUGAUUUUAGAGACUUGGGAUUCUAUUGCAACCGGAAGUUCAGAUUACAUCCUUCCCUCCUUGCUUGCUUGUUUCGUUUCGAGACAAGCUAUGUAGCUAAGAAUGACCCUCAACUCCUGGCCCUUCUAUCUCCCAAAUACCAAGAUGGUAGCCAUGCAGGGUUGUACAAGGCUUUUUCAAAUGCUGGGGCUUGAACCCUAAGAGUAUGUAGGCACAUGCUAGGUGCUCGACAAGCAGAGCUACCUGCCAGCCAUCACACCUUGUUCUUGAUGAUGCUAGGUGUGUGGAUGAUGUUUAGGAAGGCUGAGCACAGCUCUAAGCACAUAGGGCAGUGAUGGGCUUGGGUGAGUGUGGGAGACAGGGCGUGCAGGCUGCGUUCUGUUUCCAGUCUCUGUCACAGACUUCCUUGAUCAUCGAGAUAUUAUUCCAUCUCUCCUAACCAUCAUUUCCAUCCAGGGACAGUGCAGGGCGGGUAAGAUCCAUCUUAUUGAUUCCAUGUUAUUGAUUGUGAUCAGCUUUUUCUGAAGCUGUCCAUCUUGGACUGUAAGAAUUGGUGCCUUGCAAAAGACCCAGUUAUUUCUUCAGUGCAGGCCAAAGGCUCCCAGUCGCUGCUGAUGCAGAGGCCUUCCUAGGUUCUUCUGAAGUGCUGUAAUGUUGAUCCUCAGCCCUUUUUCAUCCCCUUCCUGGGGUUUUAGGAUAAUGCUGAUAGCAAAACAAUACAGAGGAGCCUAGCUUUUAUUUUACACAUCGCACAAAAACCUGUUUUCUUCCUUUCUUUUUUUAACACAAGGAGGCUGAGAAUACAUAGCAGUAAUACUGAGGACAGGGUGAGUGACAGUCAUUUAGCAGGCAAUUACAAUCCAAAUAUGUCUUAUUAAUUCUCCUUCAUGAUUGAUUCCACCAUAAAAUUGUCUAUAUGAAGAAGUCUUGCAUGCUUUCAGCUCAUCUGCAAUAACUCCUGCCAUUUAUACGAAUAUAAGCAGGUCCUCCAUUGUCAUCCUGGGAAGGCCUUUAGUGUAUCUGUGAUGGCAAGCACGUAGAUUCUCUCAUCUUCAAGAGCUUCCUAUAGUCUAAUGGCCAUGAUGGCUCAGUGUCCUGAUGUACCCCUGCUUUGUGGCACUUGCCUGGAGCUCGGUAGGGAGGUGGCAAACUCCUCCCUCUCAGGAAUGAUCUGAGGACACAUGUCCUCACAGAGAGCAAAACAACGUAGAGGAAUAAAUCAGCCCAGAUGCUUUGACUGAGUUACCUUUUAGAAGUUUACUCUCUGGUAGGCUUGGGUUUUUCCAGUGCAUUCUUUGGAUAUUCUUUGCUUUUAUAUUCAUGAAGAUGCCGAUGUUUAGAUCAGAAGGCAUAGUUAAAAAUUAAUGAUAGAAUUCAGAGUGGAGGCCUUUGAGGGUGUGGCGUAUUGCUCCUUUUCCAACUCUUAAAAAAUUUUGAACACUUUAACCAGC
rnacentral:lncRNA from 1 species